UACGUAGGCAGCAAGCGUUGUUCGGAGUUACUGGGCGUAAAGAGUAUGUAGGCGGUUGCGUAAGUUCGGUGUGAAAUCUCCCGGCUUAACUGGGGGGGUGCGCCGAAAACUGCGUGGCUAGAGUGCGGGAGAGGAGAGCGGAAUUCCUGGUGUAGCGGUGAAAUGCGUAGAUAUCAGGAGGAACACCGGCGGUGUAGACGGCUCUCUGGACCGGUACUGACGCUGAGAUACGAAAGCGUGGGUAGCAAACAGG
rnacentral:rRNA from 1 species